UACAGAGGUGGCAAGCGUUGUUCGGAAUUACUGGGCGUAAAGCGUGCGCAGGCGGUCCGCAAAGUCUGAUGUGAAAGCCCCGGGCUCAACCUGGGAACUGCAUUGGAAACUAACGGGCUCGAGUGUGGCAGAGGGGGGUGGAAUUCCACGUGUAGCAGUGAAAUGCGUAGAGAUGUGGAGGAACACCGAUGGCGAAGGCAGCCCCCUGGGCUAACACUGACGCUCAGGCACGAAAGCGUGGGGAGCAAACAGG
rnacentral:rRNA from 1 species